AUGCAGUGUAAGCUUUGCAAAUUUUCCCACAGUAGCAGAGAGGUCCUCUUGAAACACUACAGGCUUGGGCACUAUCAAGGGCGAUCCUGGCAGCAUCCUUGCUUGUAUACUGACUGCGUCUGCACUUUUAAAACUGUAGGUGCGUUAAAAACACAUUUGACAAGAUCACACAAACACACUGCUGCACUUAAUGACCACUUUAAUUUUUCAUGUGAGUUAUGUGAUUUCAAAGAUGUUUGUCAGCCAUCCCAGUUUUUAAACCAUAUCAGAAAUCAUUUGAGGAGGCAUGACACAGUCAGUUGUCCUUUUAAAGAUUGUGAGCUGACAACUAAUGUCCUUUCAACUUUUAGUAGCCACAUAUCUCGGAAGCAUAAAUCUCAAGGUUUUGAAGAUUUUAGCUCGUCUGUUACAUUGCGAACUUAUCAUUUGGAAAGCAAUGAAGAGACAGGGUCGGAAGAGUCAACAGAUCCUAUGCAGAAUCUGCAGUCAAAUGUUAGUGAUGUCACUGUUCCUGCAGUUCCUUCUGAACAUGAAACAAACGUGUAUUUAGAGCCUGUAGAGUAUGGAGGUCUGGAGCACAAAAUUGCAUCAUUGAUCCUUUACAUGCAGUCAAUUUUGCAUGUUUCAAAAAGUGCAAUUCAGGAGAUAUUAUGUUGGAUGUGUGAUAUUGUUUCGUUGUCUAGGUAUACAGCAAAACAAUCGAUCAGGGAUAUUUUAAGAAAGUAUGAAAGUCACAUUGAUGAGUCAUUGGCAGAAGAGCUUGCUGAAUUGUUAUCAGCAGAAGUGCUCAAAACAAAUCCUGUUUUUACAGCCACUGCAAAGAAGGGUACUCUCUCAACAGAAUACAGAUGGAAUGCUUAUUUUAAAGAGCAUUUUCAAGUAAUUGAUCCUGUGGAGUACCGAUUUGAUAGACUACACCAAAAUAGCUUUGUGUAUGUCCCGGUGUUGAAAGUUCUUGAAGUGUUGCUGAACAGAGCAGAUGUCUUGGAAAAAGCUGUUUUUGUUGAGGAGGAUUUACCAGGACAGUACACAUCAACUCGUAGUGGGAAGUAUUACAAAGAAAACCAACUUUUAGGGGUACAAAGCAAUUGCAUUUCAAUGUUGAUGUACACUGAUGAAUUUGAGGUUUGCAAUCCCCUGGGGACUUCAAAAAAGAUUCACAAAAUCACAGCAGUUUAUUGGGUGCUUCUGAAUCUGCCUGCAAAAUUCCGUUCUACACUUUCCUCAAUACAACUAGCUAUGCUUGGAAAAAGCAGUGAUAUAAAACAGUUCGGCUAUGACAAAUUUUUUGAUCCACUGUUAAAAGACAUGAAACGCCUGGAGCAGAAAGGUGUGUUUGUUGAAGCACUGAAUGCACAUCUCAGAGGAACGGUGUAUUGUGUAUGUGCUGACAAUCUUGGGGCUCACAGUCUUGGUGGCUUUCAAGAAAGCUUUCAGGCUGAAAACCUGUGUAGAUUUUGCCAAGUCAGCAAAGAUGACAUACAGACACAAUAUGCUAGUUGUUUUCAGCUUCGAACCGUUGAACAGCACAACUCCAUUACAAAUGAACUGAGAGACCACCAUGAGCUUCAGAGCAGACUGGGUGUAAAAAAAGAAUGUGUUCUCAGUAAGCACCUUUCUUUCUUUCACCCAAUAACUGGGUUCCCUCCAGAUGUCCUCCAUGACACUUUGGAAGGAAUUGUUCCAUCUGAGUUAUCAGUGUGCUUAAAAGAACUCAUCACAAAGAAAUAUUUUACUCUUGAUACUCUGAACAAAUGUAUCAAGUCCUUUCCUUACAAGGACUCAGACAGAGUAAACAGACCCCAAGUAAUUUCCCGGUCCAGUUUCUCAAAGAAAACCAUAGGUGGGAAUGGGCAUGAGAAUUGGGCAUUACUACGCUUAUUACCAUUAUUGAUUGGUAAUCUUGUACCCAAUUCUGAGCCUGCUUGGGAAAUUAUGAUGGACUUGAGAGAGAUAGUGGAGUUGGUUAUGUCAGUCAAGUUCUUAGAAGCAAUGCUAUGCUUUUUAGAACGAAAAAUUGUAGAACACAGACAACUACUCCAAGACACAUUCCCAAACCUGAAAUUGCGCCCGAAACACCACUACGUGGAGCAUUAUCCACACCCGAUUCGCUGUUUCAAAGGUGUUGUGCGUGAUGUCCACAAUUUUAAAAACAUUCCACUCACCUUGGCAACUAAGCAUCAGCUUAUGAUGGCCCAUUAUCUCAAUGGUCCAAGUCUCUUUUCAUCACCUUUGUCUGUGCAGAAGGUAAAAACUGUGAGAACAUGUACAUUGGAAGAACUGCAGAAGACUGCAGUUCGUAAAGAAUACCCGCACAAAGAGGUUUUGUCACUUGCGUCUGAUGUGCAUUUGCAUGGAAUUCACUUCAGUGAAGGCAUGAUUUUGUCCUCAGGUCAAUGCAGUGGCUUGCCUGAUUUUUUCAGAAUACUUGGUGUACUUGCCAAUGCUAACAAGGUGGCCUUUCUUUGCAAAAGGCUUCCGUCAUGGUACAUUGAGCACUACAGGUAUUAUGAGUUUUCUGAAACAAGUGCAAUUGAAAUCCUUGAGCCAGAUGAUCUUAAUGAUCCUCAUCCUCUCACAUCGUAUACAGUUCAGGGAAGGAACAUGAUUGCGCUAAAGAGAUUCCUUCAUUAA
ensembl:lncRNA